UGGGGAAUAUUGGACAAUGGGGGGAACCCUGAUCCAGCCAUGCCGCGUGUGUGAAGAAGGCCUUACGGUUGUAAAGCACUUUAAGCGAGGAGGAGGCUCUCUUGGUUAAUACCCAAGAUGAGUGGACGUUACUCGCAGAAUAAGCACCGGCUAACUCUGUGCCAGCAGCCGCGGUAAUACAGAGGGUGCGAGCGUUAAUCGGAUUUACUGGGCGUAAAGCGUGCGUAGGCGGCUUUUUAAGUCGGAUGUGAAAUCCCCGAGCUUAACUUGGGAAUUGCAUUCGAUACUGGGAAGCUAGAGUAUGGGAGAGGAUGGUAGAAUUCCAGGUGUAGCGGUGAAAUGCGUAGAGAUCUGGAGGAAUACCGAUGGCGAAGGCAGCCAUCUGGCCUAAUACUGACGCUGAGGUACGAAAGCAUGGGGAGCAAACAGG
rnacentral:rRNA from 1 species